rnacentral:rRNA from 1 species
GAUGAACGCUGGCGGCGUGCCUAAUACAUGCCAGUCGAGCGAACAGACGAGGAGCUUGCUCCUCUGACGUUAGCGGCGGACGGGUGAGUAACACGUGGAUAACCUACCUAUAAGACUGGGAUAACUUCGGGAAACCGGAGCUAAUACCGGAUAAUAUAUUGAACCGCAUGGUUCAAUAGUGAAAGACGGUUUUGCUGUCACUUAUAGAUGGAUCCGCGCCGCAUUAGCUAGUUGAUAAGGUAACGGCUUACCAAGGCAACGAUGCGUAGCCGACCUGAGAGGGUGAUCGGCCACACUGGAACUGAGACACGGUCCAGACUCCUACGGGAGGCAGCAGUAGGGAAUCUUCCGCAAUGGGCGAAAGCCUGACGGAGCAACGCCGCGUGAGUGAUGAAGGUCUUCGGAUCGUAAAACUCUGUUAUUAGGGAAGAACAAAUGUGUAAGUAACUAUGCACGUCUUGACGGUACCUAAUCAGAAAGCCACGGCUAACUACGUG